GCUGGCGUAGCUCAGUGGUUAGAGCGAAGCACUCAUAACGCUUAGGUCGCAGGUCCGAUUCCUGCCGCCAGCACCA
rnacentral:tRNA from 1 species